AGCGAACGCUGGCGGCAGGCUUAACACAUGCAAGUCGAACGGGCGUAGCAAUACGUCAGUGGCAGACGGGUGAGUAACGCGUGGGAACGUACCUUUUGGUUCGGAACAACCCAGGGAAACUUGGGCUAAUACCGGAUAAGCCCUUACGGGGAAAGAUUUAUCGCCGAAAGAUCGGCCCGCGUCUGAUUAGCUAGUUGGUGUGGUAACGGCGCACCAAGGCGACGAUCAGUAGCUGGUCUGAGAGGAUGAUCAGCCACAUUGGGACUGAGACACGGCCCAAACUCCUACGGGAGGCAGCAGUGGGGAAUAUUGGACAAUGGGCGCAAGCCUGAUCCAGCCAUGCCGCGUGAGUGAUGAAGGCCCUAGGGUUGUAAAGCUCUGUGGAGGGGGACGAAUAAGCAUUGGUUAAUAUCCAGUGUGAUGACGGUACCCUUUUAGCAAGCACCGGCUAACUACGUGCCAGCAGCCGCCGU
rnacentral:rRNA from 1 species